UGAUUUUUUAUUUAUUUAUAUGCAUUUUUGACAUUGGGCUUCUCAUAGGUUCAUGAAGUGAGCAUUGUGAAAGUUGUUUGGGUUCCUCCAGAAUAUGGUGGGGGAGUUGCAUGCAUUUGUGCAGAUGGAACUUUGUCAUUGUGGGAGGAGGUUGCUGAAGAUACAAAACCCCUUCAAUGGAAGCUUUGCAAAGCCUUUGAGACAAGUUCAAAUCAAGUGCUAGAUAUGCAGUUUGGAGCAUCAUUCACAAGUUUGAAGUUGGUUGCUGCAUAUUCAAACGGCCACGUGAAAGUGUAUGAGCUCCUAGAUCCAUUGGAACUGAAGAAUUGGCAACUUCAGGUGCUCUUUGUAAUUCUAUAAUGUUACAACCUAUAUUACAUGGACUCCUAAAAAUAAAUCAAAUACUCGUGUGACGUGUUGGAGAACCAACACUUGGACAAGGGUGCGAGAUAUUCUUAUGUAUUUGUUAACCAUCUCAGGCAACUAAAUUCAAGUAUUAAGUUGAUGAACAGUGUUUGCCAGGCAUUGCCACCAAGCUGCUCUGUUUAUGCUAC